AGCUGAACCUGAAGCUUGAUGAAGAAGGCCGUCAAUAAUGCAACAAAAACUAACAGAAUAUGGAUCAGAUUCGGACAACGACUUCUUAAGACAUUCACACAACAGGCUAAACAAUUCAAAGAGGGAUCUCUGGAUGAUCGAGCAGCAAGUUCAGCAUUAUGUGGGAAAGAUACUACAGGUGUACACAGAAAAGGCCAUGUUCAUGUACACGACACGAUUGGAGUUCAUAAAAGAUUAAGCUGCCUCAUGCUAUACAGACGUGGAUAAAAACUUCUUAGGGAGGCUGCCGAAACAAGCUGUCCAAUGAAUGGUGACUACUCAAGAGGAGCCAGAAAGUCAACUAAGGCCAGGGUAUUUUGGGAGUUGAUAUGGCCGGGGGGGGGGGGGGGGUUUCCAGCCCCCCCCUCCUUUGAGAUCUCGACCGCACAAUUGCGUCGAAGAUUGGCACAUGGGUUGUCUAGGGCAUAAUUUACAAAAUUAAAUUGUAAAUUAUUUCACGCAAAUUGUUAUUAAGUGAUAAUACUAAUUUAUGCGUAAUUAGAAUACAAAAUCAUACUUUUUGCUCUAUUGCAUUGACUUUGUACACAAAAUCACGUUUUUGAGCAAUUUUUGGUAUGACAUGUACUUACAUAAUGUCACGUUAUUACAGAACCACGUACCGGGUGACACAAGAUUGGUCUCAAAAGAUGCACAAGACUAGAAAGAGGCAUGUUUUAAAAAAAUUGUGCGACAGCAUGGUCGCAAAAUUUUUGGAAGGGGGGGGGGGUCAAAUUGGUCCAAUUUAACUAAGGGUUAAUAACUGGGAGGCUGUAAGCUGCCUUUUUACUUUCAAGUCUUGCACAUCUUUUGAGACCAAAUUUGUGA